UUUAGCAUUGAAUUAAUUAAUUGCAGUUUGACAUUUAUACAACAGGGGUCAUCCUGGUGAUCUUGGAGGUGUUUCAGUGCUGACCCUCAAGGCUCUACUGCCUCUUCUUCUUCUUCUUCUUCUUCUUCUCAGGACCUCUUCAACUCUGAAUACCUGCCCAGUUCUCACAAUUACCACCCAAAUUCUAUUGUAUGCUCCCAAGUGAAGGCAUCAUCCAGUAUCAUCCAGAGGGCAACUGAUAUCUAGACUUUCUUUCUGCUUAUUUUUCUGUUAAUCAGGACUAUAGCCUUGCCACUGUUUGCUUGAAGUCGGACUUCUUGAUGGAAAGUUUGAAAGUGGGUGUCUUGUUACUGUCCUCGAACAAAAAAGACAAUGCCUCUGCUACAGUGUUCAUCAUUCCUGCCCAAAAAAAGAAAUCUAAGAUUAAAAUUUAAAAGGGAGAGAUCCAUAUGGUCCAAAGCCUAACCAAACCUUCUGUAGUUUUAGUAGAAUGAUUGGUGAGCAUUGGAGCUAGCUAAAAGAUUUCUGACAAAGUGGUAAGAUCAUGUCUGUGAAUUUUAAUUAAUUUAUUGAUUUCUUCUUUCUCGAUCUCAAAAGGCAGGCACUAACCUGUGCGAGGUGUAUGUGAAGCUGUGAAACUGUGCCACACAAAGGUGGACAUGAUAAACCUUAUAAACAUGACAUUUAUUUAAUUAUCUUACCACUUUUG